UACGUAGGGUGCAGGCGUUGUCCGGAAUUAUUGGGCGUAAAGAGCUCGUAGGCGGUUUGUCGCGUCUGCUGUGAAAACUCGAGGCUCAACCUCGGGCUUGCAGUGGGUACGGGCAGACUAGAGUGCGGUAGGGGGUGACUGGAAUUCCUGGUGUAGCGGUGGAAUGCGCAGAUAUCAGGAGGAACACCGAUGGCGAAGGCAGGUCACUGGGCCGCAAACUGACGCUG
rnacentral:rRNA from 1 species